rnacentral:rRNA from 1 species
GACGAACGCUGGCGGCGUGCUUAACACAUGCAAGUCGAGCGGUAAGGCCCUUUCGGGGGUACGACGAGCGGCGAACGGGUGAGUAACACGUGGGUGACCUGCCCUCCAGCUCUGGGAGUAAGCCUGGGAAACCGGGGUACUAAUACCGGAUAUGACUCCAUGACGCAUGUUGUGGGGUGGAAAGCCUUGUGCGGCUGAGGAUGGGCCCGCGGCCUAUCAGCUUGUUGGUGGGGUGAUGGCCUACCAAGGCGACGACGGGUAGCCGGCCUGAGAGGGCGACCGGCCACACUGGGACUGAGACACGGCCCAGACUCCUACGGGAGGCAGCAGUGGGGAAUCUUGCGCAAUGGGCGAAAGCCUGACGCAGCGACGCCGCGUGAGGGAUGACGGCCU